rnacentral:ncRNA from 1 species
UGAUAGCUAUGAAGCGUGAGGUUGCUGUUACGUCGAAAGAUUUAACAGGUUUUCCGUGGAGCGAAUGUCAAGUUAGAAACUGACGACAA